rnacentral:lncRNA from 1 species
UCUUAGGAACAGCUGAGCGCACCGACAAGUUCUGUAGAGUUGCCUUCCCUGUGGCCUUCUUCGUCUCAAAUGCCAUCUUCUGGUCCUGGUUGUACUUCAAUCAAGAGAAAUAGUUUGAUCUUCAAGCAGAGACGCACUGAAAGGAAAUCUGGAAAAGCCUGGCGCAGUUGCAAUGAUUACCUUCGCGUGAAUGCACA